GAUGAAGAACGCAGCGAAAUGCGAUACGUAAUGUGAAUUGCAGAAUUCAGUGAAUCAUCGAAUCUUUGAACGCACAUUGCGCCCGCUAGUAUUCUGGCGGGCAUGCCUGUCCGAGCGUCAUUUCAGCCCAUCAAGCUUAGCGCUUGUGUUGGAGCCCUGCGGCCGCCGCAGCCUCCUAAAAUCAGUGGCGGGCUCGCUAUCACGCUGAGUGCAGUAGUAUUCUUCUCACUCCUGUGGUGUAGCGGGUAACCAGCCGUAAACCCCCCCAUCUAUAAAGGUUGACCUCGGAUCAGGUAGGAAUACCCGCUGAACUUAAGCAUAUCAAUAAGCGGAGGA
rnacentral:misc_RNA from 1 species